AGAAUCUUUAGUUUAUGUUUAAAAUUUUUAGUUGUGGUCUAAGGGAAGUUUGGAUUUUA
rnacentral:tRNA from 1 species